rnacentral:lncRNA from 13 species
UGAUGUCUAAACCCUCAGUACCACAGAAUGUGAUCUUAAUUGGAAAUAUAGUCAUUGCAGAUGUAAUUAGUGAAGUUAAGAUAAGGUCAUACUGCAGUAAAGUUUGAGUUUAAUCCAAUUUGACUGAUGUCCUUACAGGAAGAAGGUGUGAUGACAUAGAUUCCCGGGGACAAUGCCAAGUGAUGACAGACACAGACACUGGAGUGAUACAGUACAAGCCCAGGAACACUAAGGAUCCAUGACCACCAUCAGAAGCCACAAAGAUGCAAGGAAGGAUUCUCCCCUACAUGUUUCAGCGGAAGCAUGUUUCUGUGGCCACAUUCAUUUCAGAGUUCUAGCUUCCACAAGUAGCUGCACAAGAGCUGGAAGCAGAGACAAUGGCCCAUUUCUCCUGGAGUUACAUGACUGUGCUCUACGAAAACAUGCUGUGCAGGAUGUGGGAUUUCUGCACAUGGAAAAAGUAUACGUAGAGGAAAAAAUUAGCCUUUCAUGUACUCCAGUGCUUCAGAUGCUGAAAUAAUUUAUUUUUAAAGAGAAUUUAUAAAAUAAUACAACAUUAAAAAUGAAGAUAAAUUUAUUGAGUUAUUCUUUAUCACAUUAUUGCUCAUGGGAACUUGGUUUAGGUCAUGGCCAUACAAAAUAUCAGAGUUUAUUCAUUGCUCUCAGGAAAAAAAUGUAGAAGUCAAGCUUGUUCAUGUCACUAAGUGAUAGAAAUUAUCCUGUUUGAUCCCAGUCUUUUGUCACACUUAAAAGAGAUAAAGAACUUCUAUAAAUUCCUGAAAUAAAACAAAUUGCUCAAAAAGCUUAAAAUUAAAA